rnacentral:rRNA from 4 species
CUGCGAAUGGCUCAUUACAUCGGUCAUAAUUUACUGGACGAGUUAUUCUUACUUGGAUAACUGUGCCAAUUGUAGAGCUAAUACAUGCGAGAAACCGCUCCUUCGGGAGAGGUGCUUUUAUUAGAUCAAACGCCAAUGGCACUCUGUGCCCGCUUCUGGCGAAUCGUGAUAACUCUAGCAUAUCGCAUGGCUUCACGCCGGCGAAACGUCCUUCAAGUGACUGCCUUAUCAGCUGUCGAUGGUAGUGUAUUGGAC